AUGUUUUUAUGUUGCUUUAUUAACGCAAUUAUUAUUAUUUUUUAAACAUUGUAUUCAAACUGUUAUGUGACACGUAUUAAUGCCAAAAUAACAUGCUAAUCAGGCUCACCAAAAAAAACAUAUAUUUUUUUUAGCUAAACAGUUGGGGCUGAAAACACCUGAAGGACGGGUCGCCACUGCAUAACAGUCCGUUAUCUUGAUCAGUAAUGGUCUUUUAGGAAAUGGCUACUGUUGACAUGGAUACCGCAACUGUUAUGACUGUUUCUAUGGAAACGGUUACCAAGAGCAAGGUCGGCCUCCCUUGGUGUCAUGGCAACACAACGCCGGCGGAAACAUCAAAUCAACAUCCAGUUCUGGUUAGUAUUAGAUUUUAGUUGUAAACCCAACGUACUUUCAACUUGAAAUAAACCAACGAUACAGUAUAUUGCACUAAUCAAUGAUAAAAGUUGAUGAGAUGAUGGCCUGAGUGUCUGUAUGUUUGUGUUAUCAUGCGAAUUCGUCAUGCCAAACUGGUUAGCUUAAAACAUUGACAAUGACAGCAAGACAUGGAGUUGUCAAGGGCACAAUAGAUUUAGGACCAGGUUAAUAAGAACACAAUAGAUUUAGGACCAGGUUAAUACGAACACAAUAGAUUUAGGACCAGGUUAAUAAGAACACAACAGAUUUAGGACCAGGUUAAUAAGAACACAAUAGAUUUAGGACCAGGUUAAUAAGAACACAAUAGAUUUAGGUCCAGGUUAAUAAGAACACAACAGAUUUAGGACCAGGUUAAUAAGAACACAAUAGAUUUAGGACCAGGUUAAUAAGAACGCAAUAGAUUUAGGACCAGGUUUAUAAGAACACAAUAGAUUUAGGACCAGGUUAAUAAGAACACAACAGAUUUAGGACCAGGUUAAUAAGAACACAACAGAUUUAGGACCAGGUUAAUAAGAACACAAUAGAUUUAGGACCAGGUUAAUAAGAACACAAUAGAUUUAGGUCCAGGUUAAUAAGAACACAACAGAUUUAGGACCAGGUUAAUAAGAACACAAUAGAUUUAGGACCAGGUUAAUAAGAACACAAUAGAUUUAGGACCAGGUUAAUAAGAACACAACAGAUUUAGGACCAGGUUAAUAAGAACACAACAGAUUUAGGACCAGGUUAAUCAGAACACAAUAGAUUUAGGACCAGGUUAAUAAGAGAGGGAGAGAGAGGCAGAGAGACAGAGAGAGAGAAGGGGAGAGAGAGAGCGAGAGAGAGAGAAGGGGAGAGAGAGAGAGAGAGAGAGAGAGAGAGAGAGAGAGAGAGAGAGAGAGAGAGAGAGAGAGAGAGAAGAGGAGAGAGAGAGAGGAGAGAGAGAGAGAGAGAGAGAGAGAGAGAGAGAGAGAGAGAGAGAGAGAGAGAGAGAGAGAGAGAGAGAGAGAGAGAGAGAGAGAGAGAGAGAGAGAGAGAGAGAGAGAGAGAGAGAGAGAGAGAGAGAGAGGGAGAAGGAGAGAGAGAGAGAGAGAGACAGGUGUGCUUUAGAAUGCUUUGUUUCUAUAUCAAAGUAAAACUUUGCACAGAUUGAUGCUAAAUACCAUUCUGUGUUAGUAACAGUUGAUCCAGGUCAUAUAAACAUGCAGUCUGAUAUGUGGAGGACCAUCACAUCUGCUUGUUUCUAGUUGGAAGGAUAAAUACUACAGUAGAUCCUAAUAACCCAGUCCUUCAGAGCAGGGUGGGAGGAGGGGUGGAAAUUAAGUUGUUCAAUUCAAGUGAAUAGAAAUUACAUGUGAAUUUCUUCAAUUCAGGAUAACUGACUUGUUCUAACAGAUGUUAACUCAACCCCUACCCCUGUCCUAACAGAUGUUAACUUGACCCCUGUCCUAACAGAUGUUAACUUGACCCCUUACCCCUGUCCUAACAGAUGUUAACUUGACCCUUACCUCUGUCCUAACAGAUGUUAACUGACCCCUACCCCUGUUCUAACAGAUUUUAACUUGACCCCUACCCCUGUUCUAACAGAUGUUACCUUGACCCCGACCCCUGUUCUAACAGAUGUUAACUUGACCCUUACCCCUGUUCUAACAGAUGUUAACUUGACCCCGACCCCUAUAAACAAACCAACAUGUGUGCCAUGUACUGUACUGGACAUAGAAUAGAAGUGACUGAAAACACGUCUGGACGGUGAUCAUAUGAAAGUGUCUGGUACCGAAUGCGAGCUGCUCUAUCCGUUCUAAUGUUUGUGUUAAGAAUUGUAAAUCUACUGUCGAAUGUCAAAUGAAUAGUGGAUUUAUUUGUUGAACUCCACGUAAAGGUCACAUAGAUUAAAAAUGUUCAAUAAGUUCAAGACCCCAGAACGCUUUACUGGUAACUCUAUCCUGUGUGUUAGAGAGAGAGGGAGAGAGAGAGAGAGAGAGAGAGAGAGAGAGAGAGAGAGAGGGAGAGAGAGAGAGAGAGAGAGAGAGAGAGAGGGAGAGAGACAUAGAGCGAGAGAGAGAGAGAGACAGAGAGCGAGAGCGAGAGAGAGAGAGACAGAGAGAGAGAGAGAGAGAGAGAGAGCCAGAGAGAGAGAGAGAGGAGAGAGAGAGAAACAGAGAGCAAGAGAGAGAUAGAGACAGAGAGAGAGAGAGAGAGAGAGAGAGAGACAGAGAGACAGAGAGCGAGAGAGAGAGAGAGAGAGAGAGAGGAGAGAGAGAGACAGAGAGAGAGAGCCAGAGAGAGAGAGAGAGAGCCAGAGAGAGAGAGAGAGCCAGAGAGAGAGAGGAGAGAGAGAGC
rnacentral:lncRNA from 1 species